AGUGAACGCUGGCGGUAGGCCUAACACAUGCAAGUCGAACGGCAGCACAGUAAGAGCUUGCUCUUACGGGUGGCGAGUGGCGGACGGGUGAGGAAUACAUCGGAAUCUACUUUUUCGUGGGGGAUAACGUAGGGAAACUUACGCUAAUACCGCAUACGACCUACGGGUGAAAGCAGGGGAUCUUCGGACCUUGCGCGAUUGAAUGAGCCGAUGUCGGAUUAGCUAGUUGGCGGGGUAAAGGCCCACCAAGGCGACGAUCCGUAGCUGGUCUGAGAGGAUGACCGGCCACACUGGAACUGAGACACGGUCCAGACUCCUACGGGAGGCAGCAGUGGGGAAUAUUGGACAAUGGGCGCAAGCCUGAUCCAGCCAUACCGCGUGGGUGAAGAAGGCCUUCGGGUUGUAAAGCCCUUUUGUUGGGAAAGAAAAGCAGCAGGUUAAUACCCCGCUGUUCUGACGGUACCCAAAGAAUAAGCACCGGCUAACUUCG
rnacentral:rRNA from 1 species